rnacentral:lncRNA from 1 species
GGGUCCCAGUCCCUGACUGCAAAAGGAAGCCAAAACUGACAACAACGUCUCCUUCUCUACGGAGGUUUGUAGAAAGGCUGUACAAAAAUCUCACAAGAUGUAUUUCUUCUCGUGGACUGGAGUCCCAAGGUGCUUAAGAGCUCUUCAAUUUGUUAAUGGAAAGAAACACCAUUUACACCGGAUGGCUACAAAGCAACCUUAUUCUGAGAGAGAGGAUCUCAUUCUGUCACCCAGGCUGGAGUGCAUGAUCAUAGCUCACUGCAGCCUCGACCUCCUGGGCUCAAGUGAUCCUCCUGCUCCAGCCUCUCAAGUAGCUAGGACUACAGAUCUUUUCUCAGAAUAGCAGUCUGUAGGCUGUCACCUAAAGUGUCCUGUUUUCAGUGCUGCACCUGCUCUGAGCUUCAUCUUUUUACGAAGACGUCAUGGUGUGCUAUCUGUACUGGGAAACUUUCCCCAGCAUCAGCCAUCUCCUGAAGAUAACAUUGUCUGCUAGAGAUUGUCAUGUAUGUGGAUUGAAUCUCUUUAUCUUCAUGCUCUUUCUGCCUGAAGACAAGAGCAACUCCACUUUACCACCAGGUGCAGCAGCAACAGCCUUCUAUAGUGUCUCCAUGCCAGCCUCUAGCAUCUAGAUGUUCCCAGCUUUCUACAGUGCCCUGUAAGCUCGCACUCUCUCCCUCUGCCAGUGUCACAGGAGGGUCGGUUAGUGACACAUCCCUGAUCUUUCAACCUCCUGCCUCCCUCAACCGUGUAAUGUCCAAGUCCUAUAAUAGAUCUUUCAAUCUAUGAUGCUUAUCGUGGUUCUGCUUCCCAAUUCAAACCCUGGCUGAGAUGUGGUCUUAUGAGGGGACAUUCCAUGGUGUGCUGAAAGUCACCCCACAGUAUCCCCAUGAUAAACAUACAGAAUAGCUGUGAAUUUCUCUUAGAGAGCCCAGGACAUGAUCAAAACUGGAUUGUCUGCCAGGCUGAAGAGACCCCAGGGUGAACAGAAAACGAUGGAAGCUGCUCUCUGGCCUGCCAGCCAAUCACAUAUUCCUUUAAGACUACCUACCAUGCCAGUUCCGAACUCAGCUGCAGGCAGCCAUCAGGUACUUAUAAAGUAGCUGUCAUGACUGGGGAACUGAAUUUUAAAUUUUAAUUAAGUUUAAAUGUAAAAACUGAUAACUUGAGUCUGUUAUUGAAAAACCUU